rnacentral:rRNA from 1 species
ACCAGACUCCUACGGGAGGCAGCAGUGGGGGAUAUUGCACAAUGGGGGGAACCCUGAUGCAGCGACGCCGCGUGGGUGAAGAAGCGCCUCGGCGCGUAAAGCCCUGUCAGCAGGGAAGAAAAUGACGGUACCUGAAGAAGAAGCCCCGGCUAACUACGUGCCAGCAGCCGCGGUAAUACGUAGGGGGCAAGCGUUAUCCGGAUUUACUGGGUGUAAAGGGGGCGCAGACGGCGAUGCAAGCCAGGAGUGAAAGCCCGGGGCCCAACCCCGGGACUGCUCUUGGAACUGCGUGGCUGGAGUGCAGGAGGGGCAGGCGGAAUUCCUGGUGUAGCGGUGAAAUGCGUAGAUAUCAGGAGGAACACCGGUGGCGAAGGCGGCCUGCUGGACUGCAACUGACGUUGAGGCCCGAAAGCGUGGGGAGCAAACAGGAUUAGAUACCCGCGUAAU